rnacentral:rRNA from 1 species
UAGUCCACGCCGUAAACGAUGGAUACUCGGUUUGAGAGGGAUUCGACCCCCUUUUGAGCCCAAGCUAACGCGUUAAGUAUCCCGCCUGGGGAGUACGGUCGCAAGAUUAAAACUCAAAGGAAUAGACGGGGACCCACACAAGCGGUGGAGCAUGUGGUUUAAUUCGACAAUAAACGGGGAACCUUACCGAGGCUUGACAUCUCCGGAAUUUUCUAGAAAUAGAAAAGUGCCGCAAGGAACCGGAUGACAGGUGCUGCAUGGUCGUCGUCAGCUCGUGCCUUGAGGUGUUCGGUUAAGUCCGUAAACGAGCGCAACCCAUGUCUUAUGUUGCAUUUUUUCAUAAGAGACUGCCGGCUCCAAGUCGGAGGAAGGUAUGGAUGACGUCAGAUCAGCAUGGCCCUUAUGCCUCGGGGCCACACACGUGCUACAAUGGCC